rnacentral:rRNA from 1 species
GAUGAACGCUGGCGGCAGGCUUAACACAUGCAAGUCGAGCGCCCCGCAAGGGGAGCGGCGGACGGGUGAGUAACGCGUGGGAAUCUGCCCUUUGGUGUGGGACAACCACGGGAAACUGUGGCUAAUACCGCAUGGGCCCGAGAGGGGAAGGCCGCAAGGCGCCGAAGGAUGAGCCCGCGUCGGAUUAGCUAGUUGGUAGGGUAACGGCCUACCAAGGCGAUGAUCCGUAGCUGGUCUGAGAGGAUGAUCAGCCACACUGGGACUGAGACACGGCCCAGACUCCUACGGGAGGCAGCAGUGGGGAAUAUUGGACAAUGGGGGAAACCCUGAUCCAUCCAUGCCGCGUGAGUGAUGAAGGCCUUCGGGUUGUAAAGCUCUUUCGACGGGGACGAUGAUGACGGUACCCGUAGAAGAAGCCCCGGCUAACUUCGUGCCAGCCGCCGCGUAA